GCUGGGUGCAGUGGCAUGUGCCUAUAAUCCCAGCUACUCAGGAGGCUGAGACAGUAGGAUCGCUUGAGUCCAGGAGUUCUGGGCUGUAGUGAGCUCUGCUAAUCAGGUGUCCGCACUAAGUUCAGGAUCAGUAUGGUGACCUCCCAGGAGCAGGGCCACCAGGUUGCCUAAGGAGGGGUGAACCAGCCCCAGUCGGAAACAGAGCAGGCCAGUACUCCCAUGCUGAUCAGUAGGGGGAUUGUGCCUGCGAAUAGCCACUGCACUCCAGCCUGGGCAAUAUAGUGAGACCCUGUCUCUU
rfam:Otolemur garnettii contig017927, whole genome shotgun sequence.